rfam:Domibacillus enclensis strain NIO-1016 genome assembly, contig: Ga0061089_108
UAUAUCUGCUGGGGGUGUCCGUUAGCCGGACUGAGAGAAGAGCGCGCCGUUAAGGCUCUUUAACCCUUCGAACCUGAUCUGGCCAGUACCAGCGUAGGGAAGUAGGGGCACGGCUUU